UACGUAGGGGGCAAGCGUUGUCCGGAUUUAUUGGGCGUAAAAGGCUUGUAGGUGGCCACGCCAAGUCGGAUGUGAAAUCUCCCGGCUCAACUGGGAGGGGUCAUUCGAUACUGGCGGGCUCGAGGCCGGUAGGGGGAAGUGGAAUUCCCGGUGUAGUGGUGGAAUGCGUAGAUAUCAGGAGGAACACCGGUGGCGAAGGCGGGUCUCUGGGCCGAUACUGACGCUGAGGAGCGAAAGCGUGGGGAGCGAACAGG
rnacentral:rRNA from 1 species